UACGUAGGCAGCGAGCGUUAUUCGGAAUUACUGGGCGUAAAGAGUGUGUAGGCGGCGCUCUAAGUUCGGUGUGAAAUCUCUCGGCUUAACUGGGAGGGUGCGCCGGAAACUGGAGUGCUCGAACGUGGGAGAGGAAAGCGGAAUUCCUGGUGUAGCGGUGAAAUGCGUAGAUAUCAGGAGGAACACCGAUUGCGAAGGCAGCUCGCUGGAACGUUACUGACGCUGAGACGCGAAAGCGUGGGAAGCAAACAGG
rnacentral:rRNA from 1 species